rnacentral:snRNA from 1 species
GAGCUCAAAGAUAAAAGGCAGGCACAUAUACUAAAACUGGGAUGACCAGAGGAGAUCAGCAUGGCCCCUGCACAAGGAUAACAUGCAAAUCUGUGAAGCAUUCCAUUUCUUU